rnacentral:rRNA from 1 species
GUACACUCCUACGGGAGGCAGCAGUGGGGAAUUUUGAACAAUGGGCGCAAGCCUGAUCCAGCCAUGCCGCGUGCGGGAAGAAGGCCUUCGGGUUGUAAACCGCUUUUGUCAGGGAAGAAAAGGUUCUGGCUAAUACCUGGGACUCAUGACGGUACCUGAAGAAUAAGCACCGGCUAACUACGUGCCAGCAGCCGCGGUAAUACGUAGGGUGCAAGCGUUAAUCGGAAUUACUGGGCGUAAAGCGUGCGCAGGCGGUUAUGCAAGACAGAGGUGAAAUCCCCGGGCUCAACCUGGGAACUGCCUUUGUGACUGCAUGGCUAGAGUACGGUAGAGGGGGAUGGAAUUCCGCGUGUAGCAGUGAAAUGCGUAGAUAUGCGGAGGAACACCGAUGGCGAAGGCAAUCCCCUGGACCUGUACUGACGCUCAUGCACGAAAGCGUGGGGAGCAAACAGGAUUAGAUACCCUAGUAGUCCCAUG